ACUAAAGUAGCUUCGUCUCUCCAGCUCCAAAAUGGCCGAGGGAAAGUAGCAGCCAAGGGCCCAAGGUGAUAUACAACACAAAGCUCAAAUUCAAAGCCUCUCGAGCUACACCCAAAGAAACAAUGGCGUCCCUGGCCGGAGCUGUCCAACUCCUGGUGGUCACGCAGCUGGUCGUCUCUGCGCUGACGCUGUUCCUAACAAUGGAAGCAUGUAGUUGCUUUUGCUUUGCAGACCGCUGCGGUAUAUCAACACUAGCCGUGGAACACUAAAACUCAAUAAUCUCGAAGCCUUAUUAGUCAUCGAGUUGCAGCAGCGACGUGCAAGCUAUGAAGUUGAUGACAACAUCUCCAAGGCUUCCGAUUCCAGGUCCAUGGGACAUGAUGUGCUCGAGCAUAUACUUGAUGGCACAGAGGAGCCGACGAAUCUACCGUUCGAGCUUCUGAAGAACAUCACUGGAAAUUUCUCCGAAGAGAGAGAAAUCGGUCAUGGUGGAUUCGGAAUGGUUUACAAGGGUGUACUCCGAAAUGGGAUUGUUGCUGUGAAGAGGAUUUUCAGCCACCACACAAUCAAUGAAAGGUUAUUUCACUGGUAGAAAAAAGGCCUUUAGUCCCGGCUGUGCAACCGGGACUAAAUAUGUGCGACUAAAG